rnacentral:rRNA from 1 species
AAUGAACGCUGGCGGCGUGCCUAACACAUGCAAGUCGGAUGUGCCCGCAAGGGUGCAUGGCAGACGGGUGAGUAACGCGUGGGGAACCUACCUCUUUGUGGGGAAUAACGUUCCGAAAGGAAUGGUAAUACCGCAUGAGACCUUCGGCUGGGAUGCUGGAGGUGAAACCCGGGGACCGUAAGGCCUGGGGCAAGGAGAGGGUCCUGCGUCUGAUUAGCUAGUUGGCGGGGUAAUGGCCCACCAAGGCGACGAUCAGUAGCCGGCCUGAGAGGGUGAUCGGCCACACUGGAACUGAGACACGGUCCAGACUCCUACGGGAGGCAGCAGUGGGGAAUUUUGCGCAAUGGACGAAAGUCUGACGCAGCAACGCCGCGUGGGUGAUGAAGGUCUUCGGAUUGUAAAACCCUGUCGUCAGGGACGAAGGUUGGGGCUUUAAAUAGAGUUUUCAACUUGACGGUACCUGGAGAGGAAGCCCCGGCUAACUCUGUGCCAGCAGCCGCGGUAAAUACGUAGCGU